rnacentral:rRNA from 1 species
GAUGAACGCUGGCGGCGUGCCUAAUACAUGCAAGUCGAGCGAACAGAUGAUGAGCUUGCUCCUCUGACGUUAGCGGCGGACGGGUGAGUAACACGUGCAUAACCUACCUAUAAGACUGGGAUAACUUCGGGAAACCGGAGCUAAUACCGGAUAAUAUAUUGAACCGCAUGGUUCAAUAGAGAAAGACGGUUUUGCUGUCACUUAUAGAUGGAUCCGCGCCGCAUUAGCUAGUUGGUAAGGUAACGGCUUACCAAGGCAACGAUGCGUAGCCGACCUGAGAGGGUGAUCGGCCACACUGGAACUGAGACACGGUCCAGACUCCUACGGGAGGCAGCAGUAGGGAAUCUUGCGCAAUGGGCGCAAGCCUGAAGGAGCCACGCCGCGUGAGUGAUGAAGGUCUUCGGAUCGUAAAACUCUGUUAUUAGGGAAGAACAAAUGUGUAAGUAACUAUGCACGUCUUGACGGUACCUAAUCAGAAAGCCCCGGCUAACUACGUG